GCGUUAAAUCGCAACAUGGCUGUGCCACCCACACUAAUCACCCCCCCAAAUCGACCACCCCUCCCUCUCCCUCUCUUAAGAUCGCCGGCGAGGGGAGAGCCGAGAGGCGCAGGGCAGCCCCCGCCGACGCUUCCGCUCCCGCUCCCGCCGCUGCCGCAGCCGCAGCCGCAGCCGCAGCCGUAGCGGCAUUUUGUCGAGCAUAUGGCGCUCGUGCCCAGCGGCGGCGCGGGCGCUUGCAAGGACGAGGCCGCCCUUGGGCUCCCGUGGUCCGAAAUGUUCCGCUCCGCCUCGCGCCGCCGGCCCAAGCAGGAGUCCGACGAUGCGCCGCCCAAGAAGCCCGCGCUGAAGACGGCGGGUGCCAAGGAGAUGAAGGCCAAGCCGUCGUCGGUAGGGACUGGAGCUGGGGCAGGAGCCGACAUCGCAGGGCUGUCGCUGGAGCCCGACGCGCGCCUGGCGCUCUACAUCGCCAUGGCGCACGCGGGCCUCGCCACCGCGCUGCUCGUGCUCUACGGCCUUUACCUGCUGCUCGCCGACUUCCUCCGCCCGCUGCAGUGGGCGUUGCUCUGCUCCGUCCCGCUCCGCGAGACGCAGCGCGCGCUCGUCGCCUUCUGGGAGCCCCCGCUCCGUGGCGGACUCAGCGCCGCACUGCUCGCGCUGCCACUCGCUGUGCUCCGGUCCUCGACCGCAACGCUCGCCGACGCGCGCGCCGCGCUCCUGCGCCGCCCGCUCCCGUCAUCGCCGGCGUUCCCGCGCCUCCUCCGCUGGCUCGUCUCCUUCUUUUUCUUCCUCAUCCUCUUCGAGCGCCUCGGCGCCGCCACCGCGCUGCUGCUCCUCGUUUUCGCGCUCGCAUUCUUCGCCGCGUCCCCCAAGCUCAAACGCGCUGCCUCCUCACGCAUCUCCGGUCGGCCUCCCUCCUCUCGCGGCCUCCUAUUAACUGGAGGCAUCCUCCGCCACCUUAAGACACUAGUCGCUCUUGGUCUCAUGCUUGGUAUGAUCGCUGGGUUCAUAACUGGCAGCAUCUUCUUCUCCUACAAGAUUGGGCUAGAGGGCAAGGACGCCGUCAUGUCCCUCAAGUCCCAUGUCGAGAAGAGCAACUACUCAGAGAAGAUUGGCUUGAAGAAGUGGAUGGACGACAAUGACAUUCCUGGCUUGGUCGAUCAGUAUUCUGCCAAGAUCUAUGACACCUUGUGGGAGCAGGUCGACCAAUUGGCUGUGCAGUACAACCUUACAGAUUUCACUAGUGGCUUCCGGCAUUUCUUGAUCAGCCAAUCAGUUGACCCCAAAAGCAAGGCGCUCAUCAGUUCCAGACCGCACCCAUACUCAAUGAAGUUGCAAUCAAUUGCGACACGUGUGAGAAACAGAGAAUGGGUGGAGAUUUACUGGGAGCUUGACUCAUUCUUUAGGGAGCUGUUAAUCACAAGAGAGGAUUUGGUCAUCAAGGCCAAAGAGCUUGCUUUGCAGGGAACAGAAAUCGCAAAGAGGCUUCUGUCCAGCAGCACAUCGGUGCUGGGCGGUAGUGCCAAUUUGAUGUUGUCAAUCACCCUCCGCAUUGUCUCAGGUGCGGCUGAGGUUGUUAAUUUCCUGUCACAACUGAUGGUGUUCUUGUGGGUGCUGUAUUACCUUAUUACUGUGGAGGGAGGUGGAGCUACAGAGCAAAUCAUUGAUCUUUUGCCAGUGUCAAAACAAGUAAAGGACCGCUGUGUUGAGGUCAUGGAUCAUGCCAUCAGUAGUGUAUUGUUGGCCACUGCCAAGAUUGCCAUAUUCCAGGGGGGGCUGACAUGGCUAUUGUUCAAGUUCUUCAAAGUGCAUUUUGUGUACACAUCAACUGUGCUUGGAUUCAUAAGUGCACUUGUGCCAAUACUUCCAUUUUGGCUGUCCUCGAUAUUUGCCACAGGGCAGCUUCUCAUGGAAGGGAGAUAUGUUCUUGCACUGGUGGUAACUGUGAUACACCUCAUGCUCAUGGAUUAUGGCACAACUACCAUUCUGGAGGAUAUACCUGGGUACAAUGGGUAUCUCACCGGCCUCAGCAUAAUUGGUGGCAUGACACUGUUUCCCAAUGCACUGGAGUUGUAGGAGAGCAAGCCGAAUAACAUGCUAUAAGUAGCAUGGUGAUCUAUAGAAUCUAUCUCCAUCUUAAAAAAAACUUGGCAGGGUGCAAUAUUAGGUCCCCUUAUAAUGACGGUUGUUAUAGCGUUGAAGAACUUGUACACAGAGUUUGUACUUGCUGAUGGAGAGGAGACGAGCAGCUAGCAUCAGAUGCAAGGCUAAAAUGCUUGUGUUGCCAAAGAAAUACUUGUGUAGGGCUUCUACAUGCAAUGUUGCAUGAUGGUUUUGCUCUUGUACCAUGCCUUAUAUGCACAGCUAUUGCAGCAGUUGUGAGCUUUCCUUGUUAAUAUCUAUUGGAUCGUUCCAUAGACUUGGUUUUGAUAUCUGCCGAUGCUGAAUGACCUCUCUGUCCAAUUGAA